GACGAACGCUGGCGGCGUGCUUAACACAUGCAAGUCGAACGGAAAGGCCCUGCUUUUGUGGGGUGCUCGAGUGGCGAACGGGUGAGUAACACGUGAGUAACCUGCCCUUGACUUUGGGAUAACUUCAGGAAACUGGGGCUAAUACCGGAUAGGAGCUCCUGCUGCAUGGUGGGGGUUGGAAAGUUUCGGCGGUUGGGGAUGGGCUCGCGGCUUAUCAGCUUGUUGGUGGGGUAGUGGCUUACCAAGGCUUUGACGGGUAGCCGGCCUGUGAGGGUGACCGGCCACAUUGGGACUGAGAUACGGCCCAGACUCCUACGGGAGGCAGCAGUGGGGAAUAUUGCACAAUGGGCGGAAGCCUGAUGCAGCAACGCCGCGUGCGGGAUGACGGCCUUCGGGUUGUAAACCGCUUUCGCCUGUGACGAAGCGUGAGUGACGGUAAUGGGUAAAGAAGCACCGGCUAACUACGUG
rnacentral:rRNA from 1 species